UUCCAAGACAGUGCCCCAAAUUUCUAAUGUCAUUUUCUACAAUUUAUGAAUUGCUGGAUCUAUAUUCAUUUAAAUGAUUUUUUUGAAUUCCAAGUAUUCCAAAUUGAUUUAUUUUUUAACUGAACCUUUUGAAUCACCAAAAUUUAAAAACCUGAGAAGCGCUUCUGUCAAUUUUUUUAAUCCUGUCUCUGAUAAAAUAAACAUCUCUCAAGUUGUUCCCUAAUUUUAUACUGGUGUUAAAACAAAAAUUUUCUAUAAAUAUUCAAUCUUUUAGAAACUUAUGACCAAGAGUUUAGCAACUCUUAGUUUUGAAAUUGUUCUGCGCUAUCUCUCCUUUAAUCUGGUACUUCAUUUUUCAUUUAAUAUGCUUUAAAAUAAGACAGUUAUUGAUGUUUGAAUAUGUCUACCGUAAAUUAAACUUGUGCCAACUUAAGAAAACAUAAGUAUAAGCUACAACUUGUUGAAACAAUUUGUUUAUAAUAUUAUUAUACUGACAUCCUACAGUCAACUUGCUUAUUUUUUAAAAACAAUAAAAUAUUAAAGAAAAUUAAGAGAGUACACACUUUGACCCAAAUACUCUUCUACCAACAAGUAGGUAAGGUCAAAAUCUCUUAAGAAAAUUUAAGUGGGUGAGCAUUAAAGUUUGUAUUGUUUUUCAAAUUUGGUGAUUCAAAAAUUCAAACUUUUAUAUACUUAUAGCAUCAGUUUAUUGUAGUACAGAUAUUGAACAUAUAAUUCUGAAAAUUGGUUAACAUUUUAAUAAGUUUCAACUGUAGCAUUGAUGAAUUGAAAAUAUUUGAAUUGAUCCAUACCAUAUUUUUUUUAAGAAACUAUGUUUGGGCAUUGGUUUUAUUUUGAGUUGUGAUAUUUAUUUUGCUCGUUGUGUAUUUUGAAAUGAAAAACAAUGCUAGCUUAAUUAAUAAAAUUAUGUAUAGGCCAAAGAAAGCAUGUCUUUUUACAUUGCAAUGCAAUUCAAAUCUAAGUGUAUAUUGGGGAUUAUAGAAGUAUCUACAACUAGUGUAUUUAUAUGAUUAUUUGCAAGCCAAAGAAAAGAACAAUUUCUUUUACAUUAAACUCAAAUCUAUAUCAGUUUUAAUGAAAGAACAGGCAUUUCUCAAAAGGUUGUUUGCUAGUUUUUUGAAUUUUUUUUUCCAGAUUUACUGGUAAAUCUAUUGACCUUUUUUUGAAAUGGCGGUUAGGAACCUGAUAAAUAUACUUAUGCAUAAUCAUUGUGUGUAUUACUUGUUUAGCCAACAUCUGAAUUAAUCUCUAAUAAAGCAAAUGUAUACUGGUGUUUGUAUAUACAUAUUUGUUGAGAGGGAAUAAACUAGCAGACUGUAGAUGGCUAUUUGUUAAGGACAUAUAAACAGUGCUUGUUUUCCAAGAUGUACCAAUUUUAUUUAUACUAACACAAAGUAUAACAUGUUUAAAUCUGUAACAAUUUAAUAAUGGGGUUUUAUUAAUGUUAUCAUUACUACAAUCUGAUUAAAAUCUAAUGUUGUGAUUUGCUACACUCCCUCUUACCCUUCUCUCAUAUAUUAUAUUAACUCCGAAACACCCCCUGUAAACUUUUAAUGUCCAGUCGUUUUCCCAUGUCUGUCUUUUUUCGGCAACUUCUCUUCUCUCCUUGUCCAGCUGUUAACUCUUUGUAGCUGUCUUAUUUUUAAGAGGACAGUAUUCAUUAUUUUUUCUAGUGUAGAGAGUACUGUAGCAUAAAACAACAGCCGAUUUUAAUGAGAUGGUCAUUUCUACAGUUAUACUUGUGAACAGUAGACUCUGAAUAACUAGUAAUUUUAGCUGGGAAUGUACAAAUUGUGGAGUACCAAAUUUUUCCACUAGCUAAACAGUUUAUCAAUAUAAUUUAGGUUAACGUUGUAGUUAACAGUUAAAUGCAUUUGUUGUAAAGCUUUAAAGCUCUCAUGAUUUUUUAUAUGUAUUUCAACCUUCAUUCAUUUAUCAUUAAUAAUCAUGUAUAAUUUGUUUUAUAUGUACAGAAGCCAAAGUUAUAUAUAGUCUAUCAUCUAAUUUAAAACAAUGUUGUCAGAAUUAAUUUAUCUAUUUGUAUGAUAGCAAUAUUUGUUUAUUAGGAUAUUUUUGUGUAAGUUUAUACAUAUGAAUUUUGUAAUAUUGUUGUUUACAUGACCAGAAUGCAUGGUCACUUAUGUGUUCUAUAGAUGUAAACAAACAGACCUAAAAUAUGGAAAAAAAUAAAUUAAUUUAAGCA
rnacentral:lncRNA from 1 species